UGGGGAAUAUUGGACAAUGGGCGAAAGCCUGAUCCAGCCAUGCCGCGUGUGUGAAUAUGGUCUUCGGAUUGUAAAGCACUUUAAGUUGGGAGGAUGGUCAGUAAGCGAAUACCUUGCUUUUUUGACGUUACCGACAGAAUAAGCACCUGCUAACUCUGUGCCAGCAGCCGCGGUAAUACAGAGGGUGCAAGCGUUAAUCGGAAUUACUGGGCGUAAAGCGCGCGUUGGUGGCUAGUUAAGUUGAAUGUGAAAGCCCCGGGCUCAACCUGGGAAGUGCAUCCAAAACUGGGGAGCUGGAGUAGGGCAGCGGGUAGUGGAAUUUCGUGAGUAGCGGUGAGAUGCGUAGAUAUAGGAAGGAAAGCCAGUGGCGAAGGCGACCACCUGGGCUAAUACUGACACUGAGGUGCGAAAGAGUGGGGAGCAAGCAGG
rnacentral:rRNA from 1 species